GGGGCGGUCCCGGUUAAAGGCCCCGGGGGGGCGCCGAGCGCACUCGGCCGGCAGGAGCGGCGGGGCCGUGCCGGGCCGGGCCGGGCCGUGCCGUCGGGGGGGGCCGCAGGAUGUACACGCUGACACGCGGCCCCAGCAAGCUGGCCACGCAGCGCCGCACAGGUCCGACACAGCAGCCGGUGGAGAGCAAGGUGGGCGAGCCGCGGGGCCGGCUGCAGCCCGGUGCCUGGCCCCCCGCCAGCCCGCUCCCGAAACUCGUCUUCAACAGAGUGAACGGCAAGCGGCCCCAGGUGCUGCUGCCACACACCGCAGGGCCCGAGGAGUGCUACACGGCGGCCCACGAGGAGAACGUCCGCUUCGUCUACGAAGCCUGGCAGGAGGUCGAGCAGCAGCUGGACGACAGCCAGAGAGGGGAGAGCGCCCGCGGGCCCGUGCAGUACGUAGAGAAAACCCCGGACCCCAGCCUGAAAUACUUUGUUCCCAUCGACCUGGAGGAGUGGUGGGCAAAACAAUUUUUGGCCAAAAUCUGAACCGUAUCAUAAAAGGGAAGAAAGUUUUUUUUUUCUUCUUUUUUUUUUUUUUAAAAAAAAAAGAAGCUAAGAGCCUCUCUGGUCACACCCUGGACUCGGUGGUAUUUAGGAACACCUUUUUACAAGAUGUCAGCGACCCCGUGACCCCCCUCUGCCAGCCCCCCGAGGACGGCGGGACCGGACCACAGCCAUGCCCGGCCACGCGCCCGCUCCCUGCGCAGGGCGGAGGAGCCGCGAGCGGCCCCGGCCGGGAUUCCUCAAGUGCCACUUCUGAGACGUCUGCGGCUCCGGCAGCCCCCCCGGGACACUGCGGUGCCGUGCUGGGGCCAGGCAGGAGCAGCCUCUCCCCCCCCAGGAGGACAAGCAGGUGGCUGUAGCAGGACUGCCAGACAAUAAAGCGCUCAAACUGC